GACGAACGCUGGCGGCGUGCCUAAUACAUGCAAGUCGAGCGGAUUGAUGGGAGCUUGCUCCCUGAUAUCAGCGGCGGACGGGUGAGUAACACGUGGGCAACCUGCCUAUAAGACUGGGAUAACUUCGGGAAACCGGAGCUAAUACCGGAUAAUCCCUUUCCUCUCAUGAGGAAAGGCUGAAAGAUGGUUUACGCUAUCACUUAUAGAUGGGCCCGCGGCGCAUUAGCUAGUUGGUGAGGUAACGGCUCACCAAGGCAACGAUGCGUAGCCGACCUGAGAGGGUGAUCGGCCACACUGGGACUGAAACACGGCCCAGACCCCUACGGGAGGCAGCAGUAGGGAAUCUUCCGCAAUGGACGAAAGUCUGACGGAGCAACGCCGCGUGAGUGAUGAAGGUUUUCGGAUCGUAAAACUCUGUUGUUAGGGAAGAACAAGUACGAGAGUAACUGCUCGUACCUUGACGGUACCUAACCAGAAAGCCACGGCUAACUACGUGCCAGCCGCCGCCGUAA
rnacentral:rRNA from 1 species